rnacentral:rRNA from 1 species
AACGAACGCUGGCGGCGUGCUUAACACAUGCAAGUCGAACGGUAAGGCCCUUCGGGGUACACGAGUGGCGAACGGGUGAGUAACACGUGGGUGAUCUGCCCUGCACUUCGGGAUAAGCCUGGGAAACUGGGUCUAAUACCGGAUAGGACCACUGCCUGCAUGGGUGGUGGUGGAAAGCUUUUGCGGUGUGGGAUGGGCCCGCGGCCUAUCAGCUUGUUGGUGGGGUGACGGCCUACCAAGGCGACGACGGGUAGCCGGCGUGAGAGGGUGACCGGCCACACUGGGACUGAGAUACGGCCCAGACUCCUACGGGAGGCAGCAGUGGGGAAUAUUGCACAAUGGGCGCAAGCCUGAUGCAGCGACGCCGCGUGAGGGAUGACGGCCUUCGGGUUGUAAACCUCUUUCAGCACCGACGAAGCGCAAGUGACGGUAGGUGCAGAAGAAGGACCGGCCAACUACGUGCCAGCCGCCGCGGUAAUAC